rnacentral:rRNA from 1 species
GACGAACGCUGGCGGCACGCCUAACACAUGCAAGUCGAACGAGCGAGAGAGAGCUUGCUUUCUUGAGCGAGUGGCGAACGGGUGAGUAACGCGUGAGGAACCUGCCUCAAAGAGGGGGACAACAGUUGGAAACGACUGCUAAUACCGCAUAAGCCCACGGUGCCGCAUGGCACAGAGGGAAAAGGAGCAAUCCGCUUUGAGAUGGCCUCGCGUCCGAUUAGCUAGUUGGUGAGGUAACGGCCCACCAAGGCGACGAUCGGUAGCCGGACUGAGAGGUUGAACGGCCACAUUGGGACUGAGACACGGCCCAGACUCCUACGGGAGGCAGCAGUGGGGAAUAUUGCACAAUGGGGGAAACCCUGAUGCAGCGACGCCGCGUGGAGGAAGAAGGUCUUCGGAUUGUAAACUCCUGUUGUUGGGGAAGAUAAUGACGGUACCCAACAAGGAAGUGACGGCUAACUACGUG